rnacentral:rRNA from 1 species
GACGGAGGAUGCAAGCGUUAUCCGGAAUUAUUGGGCGUAAAGCGCACGUAGGCGGUCUUGUAAGUCGGGUGUGAAAGCCCGGGGCUUAACCCCGGAAGUGCACUCGAAACUGUAAGGCUUGAGUAUGGAAGAGGGUCUCGGAAUUCCCGGUGUAGAGGUGAAAUUCGUAGAUAUCGGGAGGAACACCAGUGGCGAAGGCGGAGACCUGGGCCAAUACUGACGCUGAGGUGCGAAGGCGUGGGGAGCAAACAGG